rnacentral:tRNA from 3 species
CAAGAAAGACCCAAGAACUGCUA